CGGGACGGGUGAGUAAUGUCUGGGAAACUGCCUGAUGGGGGGGGAUAACUACUGGAAACGGUAGCUAAUACCGCAUAACGUCGCAAGACCAAAGAGGGGGACCUUCGGGCCUCUUGCCAUCGGAUGUGCCCAGAUGGGAUUAGCUAGUAGGUGGGGUAACGGCUCACCUAGGCGACGAUCCCUAGCUGGUCUGAGAGGAUGACCAGCCACACUGGAACUGAGACACGGUCCAG
rnacentral:rRNA from 1 species